UACGUAGGGUGCAAGCGUUGUCCGGAAUUAUUGGGCGUAAAGAGCUCGUAGGCGGUCUGUCGCGUCGGCUGUGAAAACCCGGAGCUCAACUCCGGGCCUGCAGUCGAUACGGGCAAACUGGAGUACUGCAGGGGAGACUGGAAUUCCUGGUGUAGCGGUGAAAUGCGCAGAUAUCAGGAGGAACACCGGUGGCGAAGGCGGGUCUCUGGGCAGUAACUGACGCUGGAGGAGCGAAAGCGUGGGGAGCGAACAGG
rnacentral:rRNA from 1 species